ensembl:miRNA Gm26141 predicted gene, 26141
GGUUUUUCUGUGUAGCCCUGGCUGUCCUGGAACUCACUCUGUAGACCAGGCUGGCCUUGGACUCAGAAAUACACCUGCCUCUGCCUCCCGAGUGCUGGGACUAAAGGCAUGCGCCACCACUGCCUG